rnacentral:rRNA from 1 species
UACGAAGGGGGCUAGCGUUGCUCGGAAUCACUGGGCGUAAAGGGUGCGUAGGCGGGUCUUUAAGUCAGGGGUGAAAUCCUGGAGCUCAACUCCAGAACUGCCUUUGAUACUGAAGAUCUUGAGUUCGGGAGAGGUGAGUGGAACUGCGAGUGUAGAGGUGAAAUUCGUAGAUAUUCGCAAGAACACCAGUGGCGAAGGCGGCUCACUGGCCCGGUACUGACGCUGAUAUACGAAAGCGUGGGGAGCAAACAGG